rnacentral:tRNA from 3 species
GGCCCAUUAGCUCAGUUGGUUAGAGCAUCGUGCUAAUAACGCGAAGGUCGUGAGUUCGAUGCUCACAUGGGCCA